rnacentral:rRNA from 1 species
AACGAACGCUGGCGGCAUGCCUAACACAUGCGAGUCGAACGAGACCUUCGGGUCUAGUGGCGCACGGGUGCGUAACGCGUGGGAACCUGCCCUUAGGUUCGGAAUAACUCCCCGAAAGGGGUGCUAAUACCGGAUAAUGUCUUCGGACCAAAGAUUUAUCGCCUUUGGAUGGGCCCGCGUUGGAUUAGCUAGUUGGUAGGGUAAAAGCCUACCAAGGCGACGAUCCAUAGCUGGUCUGAGAGGAUGAUCAGCCACACUGGGACUGAGACACGGCCCAGACUCCUACGGGAGGCAGCAGUGGGGAAUAUUGGACAAUGGGCGAAAGCCUGAUCCAGCAAUGCCGCGUGAGUGAUGAAGGCCUUAGGGUUGUAAAGCUCUUUUACCCGGGAUGAUAAUGACAGUACCGGGAGAAUAGGCGCCGGCUAACUCCGUG